rnacentral:lncRNA from 1 species
CGUUGAGUUCCCCGACGGCCUCCGAGACCGAGACCGCGGAGUGACCGGAGCGAGGGCUGCGCAGUUGGUCCGGGGCGCGAACCGGCUACGCCACGCCGAAUUUGCUUGCAGCGCGGAGCAAAAAGCAGAGCCAGCAGUGCCUCUCUCCUGGACUUGCCUUCUGAGGAGCCGCUCUGGAAAACACUGCGCUGCCCAUCACGGGACAGAGGGGUAGAGUGGGGUUCAGAGGGGUUCAGUCAUGCGCCCAAGAUCACGCAGCUUGGAGGUGACAGACCUGCAUUCGAACCCGGGCAGUCAGUCUCUCGCUGGAGCCUGCUGUGGGGGGCUGCUCCCAGAGCCAGUGCUACCAGAAGGAAGCCCCUCACCAACGUGUGUCCUGGGGUCCAGGAUGAGGGUGACUGGCUGGAGGAGGGGUCUCCUGGAGGAGGUAAUGUCU